rnacentral:rRNA from 1 species
CCCUUAGAUGUUCUGGGCCGCACGCGCGCUACACUGACGAAUGCAACGAGCUUAUAACCUUGGCCGAAAGGUCUGGGUAAUCUCCAAAUUUCGUCGUGAUGGGGAUAGAUUAUUGCAAUUAUUAAUCUUCAACGAGGAAUGCCUAGUAAGCGCAAGUCAUCAGCUUGCGUUGAUUACGUCCCUGCCCUUUGUACACACCGCCCGUCGCUCCUACCGAUUGAAUGGUCCGGUGAAGCGUUCGGACCGUGGCCUUUGGACGGUUCGCCGUCUGUUGGCUGCGGGAAGUUCGUUAAACCUUNUNAUUUAGNGGAAGGUGAANUCGUANCA